rnacentral:rRNA from 1 species
GACGAACGCUGGCGGCAUGCCUAAUACAUGCAAGUCGAGCGAACAGAUGAAGUGCUUGCACUUCUGACGUUAGCGGCGAACGGGUGAGUAACACGUAAGGAAUCUACCUAUAAGCGGGGGAUAACAUUCGGAAACGGGUGCUAAUACCGCAUAAUAUCUUCUUCCGCAUGGAAGAAGAUAGAAAGACGGCUCUGCUGUCACUUAUAGAAGACCUUGCGGUGCAUUAGUUAGUUGGUGGGGUAACGGCCUACCAAGACGAUGAUGCAUAGCCGACCUGAGAGGGUGAUCGGCCACAUUGGGACUGAGACACGGCCCAAACUCCUACGGGAGGCAGCAGUAGGGAAUCUUCCGCAAUGGGCGAAAGCCUGACGGAGCAAUGCCGCGUGAGUGAAGAAGGCCUUCGGGUCGUAAAACUCUGUUAUAAGAGAAGAACAAAUUGUAGAGUAACUGCUACAGUCUUGACGGUAUCUUAUCAGAAAGCCACGGCUAACUACGUGCCAGCAGCCGCAGUAA